rnacentral:rRNA from 1 species
UACGGAGGAUGCGAGCGUUAUCCGGAUUUAUUGGGUUUAAAGGGUGCGUAGGCGGAAUAUCAAGUCAGCGGUAAAAAUUCGGGGCUCAACCCCGUCGUGCCGUUGAAACUGAUGUUCUUGAGUGGGCGAGAAGUAUGCGGAAUGCGUGGUGUAGCGGUGAAAUGCAUAGAUAUCACGCAGAACUCCGAUUGCGAAGGCAGCAUACCGGCGCCCAACUGACGCUGAAGCACGAAAGCGUGGGGAGCAAACAGG